rnacentral:rRNA from 1 species
GACGAACGCUGGCGGCGUGCUUAACACAUGCAAGUCGAACGAGGUCCACUCUUCGGGGUGGGUCUAGUGGCGAACGGGUGAGUAACACGUGGGCAACCUGCCCUCAGCUCUGGGAUAACUCCAAGAAAUUGGGGCUAAUACCGGAUAUGUCCGCUGACCGCAUGGUCUGGGUGGUGGAAAGUUUUUCGGCUGGGGAUGGGCCCGCGGCCUAUCAGCUUGUUGGUGGGGUAGUGGCCUACCAAGGCGACGACGGGUAGCCGGCCUGAGAGGGCGACCGGCCACACUGGGACUGGAGACACGGCCCAGACUCCUACGGGAGGCAGCAGUGGGGAAUUUUGGACGAAUGGGGCACCCUGAUCCAGCCAUUCCGCGUGAGUGAAGAA